rnacentral:rRNA from 1 species
AGAGUUUGAUCAUGGCUCAGGAUGAACGCUGGCGGCGUGCCUAAUACAUGUAAGUCGAACGGAAGAUGUAGUAAUACGUCUUUAGUGGCGAACGGGUGAGUAACGCGUUGGUGACCUGCCCCGAAGAGAGGGAUAACAGACCGAAAGGUUUGCUAAUACCGCGUAAUUUCCUUCUAGUUAGAGAGGGAGGAAGAAAGGCCGAAAGGCGCUUUGGGAGGGGCCUGCGUCCCAUCAGCUAGUUGGCGAGGUAAAAGCUCACCAAGGCGAUGACGGGUAGGGGACCUGAGAGGGUGACCCCCCACAAUGGAACUGAAACACGGUCCAUACACCUACGGGUGGCAGCAGUCGGGAAU